CUGUGUACAAGUUCAGGUUCACAACAAACCAAGACAGUUUUACUGGUUCAGCUGGAGUCACUUUGUCUGUCACAGAUUUGCAUGUGCAGGUGAACACACCAGUGGAGGGUAAAUCUAUUCACUAUGCAGAGCUCAAGUGUCAGAGCAGUUGUCGUCUUCCUGAUCAUCUGACCUACGUCUGGUACAAGAAUCAACAGAAGAAGAUUGAAGGAGCAUCUUAUUCAGCUUGGUUUGGUCCUGCAGACACAGUUUCCUGUGCUGUUAAAGGACUCGAGGAUUUCCACUCUCCGUCAMUGUUGGUACGGAGUCAGAGAGGAUGGAAUGUGAGAUACACUUCUACUGAGAUCUGUGUCCACAGAGGAUCAACAGUGGACAUUAACUGUUCCUACACAUGCCCAUCCAGAUUGAAUGACCGUGAAGUUAUAGUUCAGAAAACGUUCUGGUUUAAAGAAAAUCAUGUUAAUGUGGAUCUGAAAACACAGUCUGUGUAUUCAGGUCGUGUGGAGUAUCUCUGUGAAAACAACAAGUGCACUCUGAGAAUCUCUGACCUGAGAGAGACAGACUCAGCUGUGUACAAGUUCAGGUUCACAA